rnacentral:rRNA from 1 species
GGGCCCGCACAAGCGGUGGAGCAUGUGGUUUAAUUCGACGCAACGCGCAGAACCUUACCAGGACUUGACAUGGAAGUGACCGGACGAGAGAUCGUUCUUCUCCCGCAAGGGAGCACUUCACACAGGUGCUGCAUGGCUGUCGUCAGCUCGUGUCGUGAGAUGUUGGGUUAAGUCCCGCAACGAGCGCAACCCUCGUUUCUAGUUGCCAUCAUUCAGUUGGGCACUCUAGAGAGACUGCCGCGAAUAACGCGGAGGAAGGUGGGGACGACGUCAAGUCAUCAUGGCCCUUACGUCCUGGGCUACACACGUGCUACAAUGGGCGUUACAGAGGGUCGCAAUAGCGUAAGCUGGAGCCAAUCCCCAAAAACGUCCUCAGUUCAGAUCGAGGUCUGCAACCCGACCUCGUGAAGGUGGAAUCGCUAGUAAUCGCGGAUCAGAACGCCGCGGUGAAUACGUUCCCGGGCCUUGUACACACCGCCCGUCAAGCCACGAAAGGAGAGA